UAAGGAAAUACUGAACUUGUUUUUCAGUGAAUCUUUGUAUUCUGUGUCGUAACCCACUCUCGCCCAUCCAAUCCACUCCAGUCCUUUCCCUGCAGGCUGUCUGAUCCAAGCUGUGUAAUAGCUGCUAACAGAAUAAGAGACCUGACAGGUGAUGGUCAGAGUUUGAC